AAGGAGCACCACGAAAAACACUCCCAAUUGGUGGGGGUGUAGCCGUGAGGAGUCUGUGCGCUGUAGUGGCGCCGGCUUGGUGCACAACAAACUUGUAGAACUGCCAGACACACUAUUGGGCUUUGAGACAACAGGCCCGCAGUCCUGUCCCGUUGGGGGCAGGGGGUGUGUUGUUGCUCCGCUUUGGUGGUGGGGUGUGGUGUUUGAUUUGUGGAUAGUGGUUGCGAGCAUCUAGCACGCAGAAUCGUUGGUCUCACUCUUUGUGGGUGGGGCUGGUUUUGUGUGUUGAUGUGCAAUUUCUUUUGAAACUCAUUUUUGGUUUUUGUG
rnacentral:misc_RNA from 1 species